UAGUUUAGUGGGAGGUUGGAUCUUAUUAUUUUUUGUUAAAUGUGAACCUCAUUUUUGUUCCAAAUUGUUGCUCUCUAGACCAGUUUCUAUUCAUCCAGACCAAAUGAUUCUGCCACCCUGACCAGUUAAUACUUGAACUCUUGAGUAUUGCUUCAUCAAUGUGAUUACACUAUUGACAGAGAACUUUGAUCACCAUGUUAACAUCUAUGAUGUCAUGAAUAGCUCUAUCUGAAUUGAAAUUUACAUGGAUUUGCUGAACAUUCAGAUAUCUAUUUAAAUAGUGUGUGAAGCAAUCCUAAGAGAAUGAUAACUUGGGAAACUGCUCUGCUUGGCUGUCCUCCAAUUGCAUUCAGGAUAAGAAUAAGACUACAGUGAGGGCAGGCAGAUCUCUGAAGCACCAGCCUUAUUCCUGGCAUGAUGAACCAUAAUUGAUCCUGAGAUUGAUCACUGCCAUUGUGUCCUGAUUACAACAUCUGAUUGUGCUUAACUAAGAAAGAAACUCUGAUCUCCUUCACCCCCUGCUUUGUGAAACACCUUGUCUGGUGAAGAGUUCUGGAGAGCUUGCCAUACUUGUUUGGCAUUCCUGUCGGUUUCAAUAAACACAUUACCCUACUGUG